UUAAGAUUUUUAUUAGACAAAUUAUUAACAAGCUAAUUUUGAAAUGAAAUAAUGCUCAGUAUGUGAUAUUAAAUAGAGUGAUUCUAACGUAUGUAAUUUAAAAUAAUUAACACUUUUGGUAUUCUCGUAAUAUUCACAUUUGAAAGUUGACGUAUGUAAAAAAAAAAAGAAAAAAGAGAAAAGAAAAAAGAAAAAGAAAGAGAGAGAGAGAGGAGAGAGGUAAAUUUUCCUAAACGUAAAGCAGUAAAGUAAAAACGAUGAAAAGUACACGUUAAUAUUAGUUCGACAAUUUUGGGUUCCCUCUUCCCUUAUUUAAUUAACGAGAGUAUACUUCUUUCCUCUCUCUCUCUCUCUCUCUCUAUCUCUCUAUUACUCUGACUUUAUCGAAAAAUUUAACCUCCUUUUAGUCAUCUCAUUUCGUAAAUGUAUUUUCCUCUCUCUUUUCACAGUGACAUCUCCUCCAGCCAAAAGGACGAAUGGUUUGUGUAGAGGCAGGCCUGGACCAGAGCCCGCAGGGUGCAAAAGGAGCGGUGGUGCCCUCACCGCUUCCCCCA
rnacentral:lncRNA from 1 species